AACAUUUGGGUAAAGGGAAUGCUUUACUCGACAUAGGGUUGUUCCCAUUGAGAAGUUUCUACUAUGUGAGAAGUGAUUAGAAUCAAAGUACCAUGAUGGAGAGGAAAUUCACAAGGCAUGGAGUGAGUUUCAGAGAACAGGACCAAGAUGACUGAAAACUCUGCCACUAAAUGAGGAAUUCCUGGAGAAAAGAUCCUUCAAGCAACCCUAAGGUUUUGACACAGAUUAACCCCGCUAGAACAAGACAAAGGACAA